AAGGAUUUGAAACCGUUUGGCAGGGGCGGCGGUGGCGGCGGCGUUGGCGGCAGCGGCCGAGCGGAAAGCUUGCGUGUGGUGGUGCCAGAUUGGAUUAUGGAAGUGGGAAGUGAAGAAGAAAAAUGGGAGAAACUGGAUGCAGAAUUUGAUCACUUUGUGGUUGAUAUGAAGCCCUUUGUUCUAAAAUUACCUCAUAGGACAGAACGGCAGAGGUGUGCUCUUUGGAUUAGAAAGCUGUGCGAACCUUCAGGAACAGGUGCAGGAAUAAUGGGGAGGAAGAAUCGGAACCUGUAUGCAAAAUUGUUGUUGCAUAUGCUUAAACGAGGUGUGCUUGAAGGCCCUUUUACACACCGGCCUGAACCCGGGACACUAAAAAUUUUACCUUCAUACAUGGUAGGUAUCAAUGAACAAAAGAUAUAUAUUAGUUUCAUUUAAAAAAAAGCGUCAAGUUAUCAUCCCUUUGGGGAAUGGUAAUACUAUUAGGUUGUAUGUGCUAGAUAAUAUAUUAAAAUUGUUUUUUUCUUCCUGAUUCAAUUUUUUUCCACCUUUAAUAAAAUACAUAUGUUGC
rnacentral:sRNA from 1 species